UACGAAGGGGGCUAGCGUUGCUCGGAAUCACUGGGCGUAAAGCGCACGUAGGCGGCUUUCUAAGUCAGGGGGUGAAAUCCUGGAGCUCAACUCCAGAACUGCCUUUGAUACUGGAGAGCUUGAGUCCGGGAGAGGUGAGUGGAACUCCGAGUGUAGAGGUGAAAUUCGUAGAUAUUGGGAAGAACACCGGUGGCGAAGGCGGCGCUCUGGACCGAGACUGACGCUGAGGCGCGAAAGCGUGGGGAGCAAACAGG
rnacentral:rRNA from 1 species